CCGCAGCACCCGAUAUUUUAGGACAGCCUCUGCCCAUUCUCACAUGUCAGGCUCCAUUCCUCUUUCCCUUUCUCGUUCCCAUCUCUCUCCAGAAAACGAAAUCUCGUCGGUGCUUCUGCCUCGUACUGGUUCGCCGCAUCGGGGGAAGCGAGAGGUGCCGCGGAUCAGGGCGUGAACAUCGGGGAAGUCGGCGGCGAUGGGCCGGGGUGGUGACGGGGUGAGUUUGCUUGUUGAUUUCCCCCAUGACCACCGGCGAGUUGAUAUGGGAGCGAGGGAUUCUCCGCGUGCUCGCCGGCCCCGGCUGCCUGGACCGCGCGGAUGAAGCCAGCACCGCCGCGGGCUCGCAGAUCAGGGCGGGCGUGGCUGCCGUGCCGCAGGCGAAGGUGGGUGGGUGGGGGAAGCGGGUGAUGGCGGCGUCGCAGCCAUGGUUCUGCGGUGGGGCAGACGGGAAAUCAGGACACAUUGAGGGGACUUCGCCGUGCGGAGCAACAGAGCGCGAGGACGAGGAGGCAGACGAGCGAUGCGAUUGGAGGCCUACCGUUUCUCCGAGCUUCUUCGAGGUAUCAUGGAGUGGGAUGUCAUCCAUGUUCAGAGAGACAACCUGAAGGGCCUUCAGUGAGGGAUAGUCAGCAUGCAGCAAAGGCCGGAAGCAUGCAUGGAGAUGCAGGUGGAGUUGCAGAGAUCCAUCAAGCAAGAGGGACACUUGAAGACGAUGAUGGAUUGCAAUGGAAGCUAGCAAGGAAAGGAACCUGCUCGUGUGCUGCGACAACCAAAUCGACUAGCUUCUUUACAGGGGAUUCUUGUCAAGAUUUUUCUAAUCCUUUUGUAUAUGUCGGAUAAUGAUUGGAAGCAAUACAAGGGGAUGGCUACAAGGAGGUCACUUUUUCAAGGAGACAGAAAAGUGUUCUUUUACAUGAACAAUUUUCAUGGCAAGUUUUGGGGAUGGGACACAGCAGUGUGUUUCCUCGGAUGUUCAUUUUUUUCAAGGAUCUGCAUCACGUGGGUGUAUUUCUUGGAAGGAGCAAAGCAGGCUUUAUAUGUGUGUGUUUUUUGCUUUUUGCAUGAUAAAGUGUUGGAUCCUAUAUGUUGCCAAACAAAAAACAAAGCAAAUCUGUAACUAGACAUGUGUGGGGUUGACCUACUUUUGCCCAGUGCAUUUUUUCCUGUAAUUUUUAUUUCCUAUCAUGCCCAGUAAUCUCAUGGUAAGAUUUUCAAUUC